rnacentral:sRNA from 1 species
AGACUGAAGUCUCCUCUUUAUCCAGAGGACAGUUACAGCACAGGAAGCAGCAGUGCAAGCUUUCCUACACUUAGUUUGGAGAGGCCAACCUGAUGAUGGUCACUGUCUGUUAAUAGCAGUCCAACAGCCU